GGGAGGUAGUGACAAUAAAUAACAAUACGGGGUUCUAUAGGAUUUCGUAAUUGGAAUGAGUACAAUUUAAAUCUCUUAACGAUCAACAAUUGGAGGGCAAGUCUGGUGCCAGCAGCCGCGGUAAUUCCAGCUCCAAUAGCGUAUAUUAAAGUUGUUGCAGUUAAAAAGCUCGUAGUUGAAUUUCGGGGUUAGUAAGUUGGUCAUGCCUUCGGUAUGUACUGGCUUUACUGAUUCCUCCUUCUUGACGAACCGUGAUGUCAUUAAUUUGGUGCUGCAGGAAAUCAGGACUGUUACUUUGAAAAAUUAGAGUGUUUAAAGCAGGCUAAGGCUUGAAUACAUUAGCAUGGAAUAAUGAAAUAGGACGUUUGAUCCUAUUUUGUUGGUUUCUAGGAUUGACGUAAUGAUUAAUAGGGAUAGUUGGG
rnacentral:rRNA from 1 species